rnacentral:rRNA from 1 species
UGAGGAAUAUUGCGCAAUGGGGGCAACCCUGACGCAGCAACGCCGCGUGGGUGAAGAAGGCUUUCGGGUUGUAAAGCCCUGUCAGGUGGGAAGAACUCUUCGCAGGUAAAUAGCCUGCGAAACUGACGGUACCACCAAAGGAAGCACCGGCUAACUCCGUGCCAGCAGCCGCGGUAAGACGGAGGGUGCAAGCGUUGUUCGGAAUCACUGGGCGUAAAGCGCGUGUAGGCGGUCCGAUAAGUCGAAUGUGAAAGCCCGGGGCUCAACUUCGGAAGUGCAUUCGAAACUGUCGGGCUUGAGUACGGGAGAGGGAAGUGGAAUUCCUGGUGUAGAGGUGAAAUUCGUAGAUAUCAGGAGGAACACCGGUGGCGAAGGCGGCUUCCUGGACCGAUACUGACGCUGAGACGCGAAAGCGUGGGGAGCAAACAGG